CCUACGGGGGCAGCAGUGGGGAAGAGUGGGCAAGGGGCGCAAGCCCGACCCAGCAACGCCGCGUGAAGGAAGAAGGCUUUCGGGGUGUAAACUUCUUUUCUGAGGGACGAAGAAAGUGACGGUACCUCAGGAAUAAGCCACGGCUAACUACGUGCCAGCAGCCGCGGUAAUACGUAGGUGGCAAGCGUUAUCCGGAUUUAUUGGGUGUAAAGGGCGUGUAGGCGGGAAAGCAAGUCAGAUGGGAAAACUCAGGGCUCAACCCUGAGCCUGCAUUUGAAACUUUUUUUCUUGAGUGCUGGAGAGGCAAUCGGAAUUCCGUGUGUAGCGGUGAAAUGCUUAGAUAUACGGAGGAACACCAGUGGCGUAGGCGGAUUGCUGGACAGUAACUGACGCUGAGGCGCGAAAGCGUGGGGAGCAAACAGGAUUAGAUACCCGGGUAGUC
rnacentral:rRNA from 1 species